rnacentral:lncRNA from 7 species
GAUGAAUCAGUCUAAGGUUCUAACAUUAUGAUUGCCACCAAAUGGUGCUGCACUGUCUUAACCAGUACACCUGACGAUUGACCGCCAUAAGUUGAAAAGAAACAGGUCAAUUAGUAAAAACAAAAGCAUGCGCACGUGCUUUUCAUCAACAGACAGUCGGACACCAAUGCAAAAAUUACAUAUGGCGUCGCUGAACAAAAGCCAGCAAUUUGUCAAUCUCAAGAGACGACAUUCUUGAUUACAUGAGCAGACAAGCUAUUAGCACCCUGUAUGCUGCACUGUUACU